rnacentral:lncRNA from 1 species
CGGACCUGUCUUUGAUAUUCUCUGUCAGAUUUGUGAUUUUCGCUCGUGACAUCUUGUAGUUUUAUUUAUUUGUUUGUGACGGUGACGGUGAAUUUAUUAUUUUGUUUGAAGCCGAAGUUUGGACUAUGUACCGUGUACUUACAAAUCAGUGUAGAUAAAUAUUUUAUUUAAACUAUUCUUAUCUUUAAAACAGCGCACAAGACGAGUCGAGCGAUACUAGUCCAUUUUAAUUAAACGAUCAGUUGCUCGGAGUACUUUAUUACCGCACACAUGUAUGGACAUUUAUAAUCGUUUGAUCUGAGACUUAAAUUGAAUUUAUUAUUCAAGGUCUCAAUUGCAGUAACUCAUUCGUAAUUUAAAUAAAAAAAAAAGUUGUCGUGUCUUCCUAUAUUAUAAUAAGUGCCUAUCCUCGGAUAUCUUAAAACUAUGUGCUAAAAGUUUAUUAAAUACGAAAGAUUAAUUAGUAGAGAGAGAGUAUCGAUCUGAAAAUUAUUAUAAUUUUUAAUAAGGUACCAAAUACAUUCAACAAUGGCGUCUAAGCUGAGAAAUCUAUUCACACAAGUAAUAAGGAA